rnacentral:rRNA from 1 species
AUUGAACGCUGGCGGCGUGCUUUACACAUGCAAGUCGAACGGCAGCAUGGUUACUUUCGGGUAACUGAUGGCGAGUGGCGGACGGGUGAGUAAUGCAUCGGGACAUGUCUAUUUGAGGGGGAUAACUCAUCGAAAGAUGAGCUAAUACCGCAUACUGUCUGAGGACGAAAGCUGGGGACCGGCUACGGCCAGGCGUAAAUAGGUUGCCCGAUGUCCGAUUAGCUAGUUGGUGGGGUAAAGGCUCACCAGGCCAACGAUCUGUAGCUGGUCUGAGAGGACGACCAGCCACACUGGGACUGAGACACGGCCCAGACUCCUACGGGAGGCAGCAGUGGGGAAUUUUGGACAAUGGGCGCAAGCCUGAUCCAGCAAUGCCGCGUGCAGGAAGAAGGCCUUCGGGUUGUAAACUGCUUUUGUACGGAACGAAAAGGUCUGGGUUAGUACCCUGGGCACAUGACGGUACCGUAAGAAUAAGCACCGGCUAACUACGUGCCAGCCGCCGCCGUAA